CAGCAGCCGCGGUAAUACAGAGGGUGCGAGCGUUAAUCGGAUUUACUGGGCGUAAAGCGUGCGUAGGCGGCUUCUUAAGUCGGAUGUAAAAUCCCUGAGCUUAACUUAGGAAUUGCAUUCGAUACUGGGAAGCUAGAGUAUGGGAGAGGAUGGUAGAAUUCCAGGUGUAGCGGUGAAAUGCGUAGAGAUCUGGAGGAAUACCGAUGGCGAAGGCAGCCAUCUGGCCUAAUACUGACGCUGAGGUACGAAAGCAUGGGGAGCAAACAGGAUUAGAUACCCGGGUAGUCCCUGUCUCUUAUAC
rnacentral:rRNA from 1 species